CUCUGUGUCAAAAGAAAAAAAAAAAUCCCCCAAAAUGAAAAAAAAAAAAACAAAAGGCGAUGUAUACAAUUUGCCAAUUCCUGUGGUUAGGACCUCAACAUGUGAAUUCUGGAAAGGGAUACAUUGCAGCCCAUAACUUGCAGGCAGUGACAACCACCUUGUGGCUGCCACCUGGCCUACCACAGUUGCAAAAUGCACCUCAAUUUCAGAAAUAUUAAAUGGGGGAAAAUGUGCCUCUUACUAUUGACAAGCUGUGCUCACAUGUCAGCUGAAAUUAUUUGGUUGAAGAUUGGGGAUUACAACGUGGUUAUAGAUUUGGGUUAUCGGUUUGCGAUUCAGGACUGAGACAGUCCCACCAUUGUCAAUUUCAAGCUACCAGUGACGUCACUGAAUGCAGAGUAGGGAAGGGACGUGUGCUGUCGGCUUUCAGGAGCUGGCACAAGCUGGCUGCGGCACACCACUGCCCAUUCCAGAGACGUGCUUCUUUUUCGAGAAGGGAUCCUGAAAUUAUUCCACCUCUGAACAUUGAGAUACACCUUUCAGCCAUUGUCUCUACACAUUUUCUUCUAAAAUUUAUAUUAACUCCCAAGAGCAUAGUUUCUAUACAGCAGUUUUUCAUAACUUCUGACCUUGGUAGGAGUGGACAGAUGGCAACACCAGGCAUUUAGAGCGUUGUCUGUUCCCAGUGGGGCUCGUGGAGAACUGGAAGUGAGUGAGCUGAAAUUGGCUGAAGGCUCUUGUGCAUGAUUUCCUGUGCAUGAUUUCCUUUGCCGUGGUUUGAGUUAUUCUGUUUUCUGUGUUACUCUUUCACUUCAGAGAAAACUGCCGGCUGACUUCAAGGUUCUGGAAGCCUCAGAUCUGGUGUAUACAGUCAGCGCCCAGGAGUACUGGCAGCAGGCUCUCCUCACUGAAGAGGAAACUGAAAUCCCUAAGUUAAGAGAAUACAUCAGGAAAAGGCUCUUGGACAAGAAGAGGAGGACAGUGACCAAGUAUGUGACCGAAGCCUUUGGCCUGUUGCUCCUCACGGAUAGUUUCAACUCCACGCAGAAGCUGCCGAAUGAACACUUGCAUGUGAGUGACCUGCGGAGAUUCACAGAAGAGAAGGUUGAGCUGCUGGAAAAGGCCAUCGCACAGUGCUUUGCCUGCAUGGAGCAGCCUCUGAAAGAAGGGGUCAGAACCGCCAGGACCUCCUACCGCUGCAUUCUCAGGGCGUGCCUGGUGGUGAGU